rnacentral:misc_RNA from 1 species
GCAAACUUGGUCAUUUAGAGGAAGUAAAAGUCGUAACAAGGUUUCCGUAGGUGAACCUGCGGAAGGAUCAUUAUUGAGAAUCGGGUUGUUUACAGCCCCUCUCCCAACCUUUGUCUAUUAUAUCUUGGUUGCUUUGGUAGGCCAGUCCUUUUGGGACGAUCGGUUGGUCCUGGACCACCUGAUUCGUGCCUACCGAUAGCCUCUUUUUUAAACUCUUGUUUAAUCACCAGUCUGAAUUUUUGAUUAUCAAUCAAACUAAAACUUUCAACAACGGAUCUCUUGGUUCUGGCAUCGAUGAAGAACGCAGC